rnacentral:lncRNA from 1 species
UUGUUGAUGAAAUUUUCUAUGUUGAUGGCGAAGAAUUAUGGCGAAUAAUAGAGUUUCAAACUCUUAUGGUGAGAGACAAGACUUGUGCAGUGGCGAUCACCUCUAUCUCUAUAAUCGAAACCAAUGUAUGUAUUUAUGCAUAUAGAAUAGAAAUGUAAAACAAUAUGUAUUUUAAUAUUUUGUAAUAUGAUAUAUUUUGUUACUAUACUAUUUUAUCAUGGUCCAUUCUAUUUGACGGUUACUAAAAAGUGAUAUAUUUUGUUUAUAACUAUAGUUUGUAAUUUUCUUAAGUUCUCACUAUGGCUAAAUGUUUUUGAAUCUGUAAAAAACAUACUAUGAUCUAUAUUGUAUAAUUUAAUAUUACAUAUAUAAUAUUAUGUAUUUAUUAGAUUUUGAUAUGUGGGUUUAGGGUUUAUAUUUGGGUUAGGGUUUAGUGAAUAGAGUUUAGGGUUUAGUAUUUAAAAGGCGAGGUCGUAUGGUUAGGUCAUCAUUAACUUCUUUCCAUGCAAUUAUAUACAUUUUAUAAUUUUGACCAGUA